UGCAGUCGAGCGGACAGAAGGGAGCUUGCUCCCGGAUGUUAGCGGCGGACGGGUGAGUAACACGUGGGUAACCUGCCUGUAAGACUGGGAUAACUCCGGGAAACCGGAGCUAAUACCGGAUAGUUCCUUGAACCGCAUGGUUCAAGGAUGAAAGACGGUUUCGGCUGUCACUUACAGAUGGACCCGCGGCGCAUUAGCUAGUUGGUGGGGUAAUGGCUCACCAAGGCGACGAUGCGUAGCCGACCUGAGAGGGUGAUCGGCCACACUGGGACUGAGACACGGCCCAGACUCCUACGGGAGGCAGCAGUAGGGAAUCUUCCGCAAUGGACGAAAGUCUGACGGAGCAACGCCGCGUGAGUGAUGAAGGUUUUCGGAUCGUAAAGCUCUGUUGUUAGGGAAGAACAAGUGCGAGAGUAACUGCUCGCACCUUGACGGUACCUAACCAGAAAGCCACGGCUAACUACGUGCCAGCAGCCGCGGUAAUACGUAGGUGGCAAGCGUUGUCCGGAAUUAUUGGGCGUAAAGGGCUCGCAGGCGGUUUCUUAAGUCUGAUGUGAAAGCCCCCGGCUCAACCGGGGAGGGUCAUUGGAAACUGGGAAACUUGAGUGCAGAAGAGGAGAGUGGAAUUCCACGUGUAGCGGUGAAAUGCGUAGAGAUGUGGAGGAACACCAGUGGCGAAGGCGACUCUCUGGUCUGUAACUGACGCUGAGGAGCGAAAGCGUGGGGAGCGAACAGGAUUAGAUACCCUGGUAGUCCACGCCGUAAACGAUGAGUGCUAAGUGUUAGGGGGUUUCCGCCCCUUAGUGCUGCAGCUAACGCAUUAAGCACUCCGCCUGGGGAGUACGGUCGCAAGACUGAAACUCAAAGGAAUUGACGGGGGCCCGCACAAGCGGUGGAGCAUGUGGUUUAAUUCGAAGCAACGCGAAGAACCUUACCAGGUCUUGACAUCCUCUGACAACCCUAGAGAUAGGGCUUUCCCUUCGGGGACAGAGUGACAGGUGGUGCAUGGUUGUCGUCAGCUCGUGUCGUGAGAUGUUGGGGUUAAGUCCCGCAACGAGCGCAACCCUUGAUCUUAGUUGCCAGCAUUCAGUUGGGCACUCUAAGGUGA
rnacentral:rRNA from 1 species